rnacentral:rRNA from 1 species
AUUGAACGCUGGCGGCAUGCUUUACACAUGCAAGUCGAACGGUAACAGCACUUCGGUGGCUGACGAGUGGCGAACGGGUGAGUAAUACAUCGGAACGUGCCUAGUAGUGGGGGAUAACUACUCGAAAGAGUAGCUAAUACCGCAUGAGAUCUAAGGAUGAAAGCAGGGGACCUUCGGGCCUUGCGCUACUAGAGCGGCUGAUGGCAGAUUAGGUAGUUGGUGGGAUAAAAGCUUACCAAGCCGACGAUCUGUAGCUGGUCUGAGAGGACGACCAGCCACACUGGGACUGAGACACGGCCCAGACUCCUACGGGAGGCAGCAGUGGGGAAUUUUGGACAAUGGGCGCAAGCCUGAUCCAGCAAUGCCGCGUGCAGGAUGAAGGCCUUCGGGUUGUAAACUGCUUUUGUACGGAACGAAAAGCCCUCUUCUAAUACAGGAGGGUCAUGACGGUACCGAAAGAAUAAGCACCGGCUAACUACGUG